ACAUUUUCUGGAGCUACUGUGGCAAUCACUAGUCCUAAUCUUGGAAGGAACUGGAUUCUUUAUUCUCUUCCAGAUUUUGCGAAGGAGACUAGUCAAAGCCCGAGGAGAGAUAAGAACAUGGUGUGAUAUUUGAAGAUAAAUUGACAAGUAAAAGAAAAGCGAGAUGUCUUCAGAUCGAAGCUGCAUUAUACGAGCACUUUGGAAAUUACAGGAUUGCCAGCUUUGGGACAAAACAACAUUUGUGCUAAACAGCCGGGGUCCUCAUACUUAAAACGAAGGGGACUACUGACCAAAACUGAACUCAUUUCCUACAAAGAUUCCUUGGGAGCUUCUGGUCUGUCCAAUUUUAGGCUUGAAAAAUAGUUGAAGGUUGUACCUUUUGGAUUUUCAAUAGGAGUUGUGUGAUAGUCACUGACUGAGCUAUGACACCGACUAUACCACACAUAGCUCUUGCUGCAAGAACAAAGGGAAUGCCAAAUGGAUGGGAGAC
rnacentral:lncRNA from 1 species